UGCACUUCAGAGACAACUUUGGCAAUCAUAAAUCCCAAUUAGAAGGACUAGGACAGAUCAAAUGAAACCCAAAUUACUAGAAACCCAAAUAAAAUUUCCCUUGAUCUUGAGAACUCCAAAAUGAACUUCAGGAAUGUGAUUCAGUUACCCAGACUAAAAUUCAGACGGAAAAUCAAAUGGAGCAGUGUUUGUUUUUGAGUUUGACUAUUUUUUUGGUUUGUCUAAUUCAGAAUGCAUAUUUUUUUGUAUUUUUUUGUGUUUGAAUGCAGAGAACUAAUCUAAAACUGGAAUCAAAUAAAAAUAAUUUUAUUUAAGACCACUCAAAGGUAUUUCAGUGAAUCAAGAAAAGCAGAAAAAUCACUCAGAAAUUCCAAUGAAACAGUAGAUUUGCAGCCAUUAGUAUUUUCAUAUUCUUAUCUCUCUAAUCCUUUCAAAUUUUUCUCUCUUGUGC
rnacentral:lncRNA from 1 species